CAUUAAGAAGCUUAUUUUAAAGCGUUAACCUUUUAAGUUAAAGAUUGGAAGUACAAACCUCCCCUUAAUGA
rnacentral:tRNA from 1 species